GAGAGCUGGCCCCUGGCCAGUGUCGCCGCGACUCUAAACAUGGGCGUUUACUGCAAGUCCUUUGGGGCAACACUGCACGAUUGCCGGGGACGUCUCAUACGAGGUAACCCGCAGCCCCUUCUCGGGGUCCACAGACUAAGUGGCAGUGGGCGCUCUCCAGCGCUUAAGAUAUAGUCGGCCUCAGCGCGCAAGCUCUGGGAUCCAGUGUCCGUAGGUGAACCUGCGGAAGGAUCAUUAAAGAAUACAAGGCCUUCGGGUCCUAUUCUCACCCUUUGUAUACCAAAACUCUUGUUGCCUUGGCGCUUCGUGCGCCGAAGGAAGUAAACCCUUGAAUCUCUGCUGUCUGAGUACUAUAUAAUAGUUAAAACUUUCAACAACGGAUCUCUUGGUUCUGGCAUCGAUGAAGAACGCAGCGAAAUGCGAUAAGUAAUGUGAAUUGCAGAAUUCAGUGAAUCAUCGAAUCUUUGAACGCACAUUGCGCCUCCUGGCAUUCCGGGAGGCAUGCCUGUUCGAGCGUCAUUACAACCCUCAAGCUCAGCUUGGUCUUGGGCUCGCCUCCUUUGGCCUGCCUCAAAAUCAGUGGCGGCACAAUCCGAUCCUUAAGCGCAGUAAUACACGACGCUUACUUGUGUGAAGAUUGCGGCUCCAGAAACCCCCACAAACUAAAGGUUGACCUCGGAUCAGGUAGGGAUACCCGCUGAACUUAAGCAUAUCAAUAAGCGGA
rnacentral:rRNA from 1 species